rnacentral:rRNA from 1 species
UACAGAGGGGGCAAGCGUUGUUCGGAAUUACUGGGCGUAAAGGGCGCGUAGGCGGCCUGCUAAGUCGAACGUGAAAUCCCCGAGCUCAACUCGGGAACUGCGUCCGAUACUGGCAGGCUUGAAUCCGGGAGAGGGAUGCGGAAUUCCAGGUGUAGCGGUGAAAUGCGUAGAUAUCUGGAGGAACACCGGUGGCGAAGGCGGCAUCCUGGACCAACACUGACACUGAUGAGCGAAAGCCAGGGGAGCAAACGGG